AAAUAAGGAAAACUUCAGGGCUUCUCAAAGACUUGGUGUAAAACGAAUAUUCUCUUGGCAGCGACAAGAGUGUCGAUCGACACAGGUGUGGUGUCAAUAAAUCCGACUCAUAUGCUCGACCUACACAUGUUUUCAAAUCUACCAAUCCCUUUAACAUUCAUUAGUUCUGGAACGUGAAUCAAGCAAUGCAUCAUCAAUGAACUCAUUUGGCUAAGGUAAAAGGUCAAGAGACUAAGAUGGUCCCUUACAGAAUAGGCUUUAGUAACAGGGGAUCUCUCAAAAAAUGAUUAAGCUUUAAAAGAAUGCUAAAGGUAAAUCCCAAGCUAUGCAUACAGAGAUAAGAUCCCAUCUACCUAGAGUAUAUCAAAUGAAGCUCUAAUGGUAAUCCCAUCUCCAAUCCCAAUAUAAGAACCUAACUCUACCCUUUGCAUUCAUGAAUCUUUUAAGCCCUUUUUCUAAUCAUUCUUUUCUUUUCUCUUAACUCUAGGAGAAGCGUUCUCAACACUUUGAUACAUCUAGCGGAUUUGGAUUUCUUUAACAACUAAGGUUCCUGUUUUUAACAUUUUAAAACCGAGGGCUUUUGCCCAUCUUCAAUAGCUAACAAGAACUCUUUCUUUUCUUUACAAAUCUCAAAAUCUUUACUAGACUUUUUCUGCUUCUUUAGCUUACUUCACCUAGAGUCUUUUACCUUUCCUCAUCAAUGAAUCAACCCUUUUUUUUUCCUUUAAACACAUCCCAACCCAAAGUAUAAGCGCCCACCUAGUCAUAUCUAGUCCGAAAAAUGCGAACUAGAACUACAUGAGACACUAUCUCUGUCGUUACGAACCUAACACUUUCUACCAAGCUUAAUCGGAAUAUGACCACACAAACACUUACAAGUGAUAUAGGGCUUGAAAGAAAGUCUAGGUUUGGGUUCGGGUUAACUACUCUAAUAAGGAGAGUCAGCUACUUGGAUUGACAAGAGUGAUCAAAAUGAAUAAGAAAAUCCAAGUAUUUUAGGGUAUCCAUGACUUCAAAUUUGAUGCAGACAUGAUAAUUAAAGAUCAAAUUCAGGUUCAAAUUGAUAAGGAAUGA
rnacentral:sRNA from 1 species